rfam:Archaeon GW2011_AR3 QS98_C0005, whole genome shotgun sequence.
GCGGGGGUGCCGGAGUGGCCAAACGGGUACGGUUCAGGGCCGUAUAGCUUAGUGCUUACGAGGGUUCGAAUCCCUUCCCCCGCA